rnacentral:rRNA from 1 species
CAGGACGAACGCUGGCGGCGUGCCUAAUACAUGCAAGUCGAGCGGACAGAUGGGAGCUUGCUCCCUGAUGUUAGCGGCGGACGGGUGAGUAACACGUGGGUAACCUGCCUGUAAGACUGGGAUAACUCCGGGAAACCGGGGCUAAUACCGGAUGGUUGUUUGAACCGCAUGGUUCAAACAUAAAAGGUGGCUUCGGCUACCACUUACAGAUGGACCCGCGGCGCAUUAGCUAGUUGGUGAGGUAACGGCUCACCAAGGCAACGAUGCGUAGCCGACCUGAGAGGGUGAUCGGCCACACUGGGACUGAGACACGGCCCAGACUCCUACGGGAGGCAGCAGUAGGGAAUCUUCCGCAAUGGACGAAAGUCUGACGGAGCAACGCCGCGUGAGUGAUGAAGGUUUUCGGAUCGUAAAGCUCUGUUGUUAGGGAAGAACAAGUACCGUUCGAAUAGGGCGGUACCUUGACGGUACCUAACCAGAAAGCCACGGCUAACUACGUGCCAGCAGCCGCGGUAAUACGUAGGUGGCAAGCGUUGUCCGGAAUUAUUGGGCGUAAAGGGCUCGCAGGCGGUUUCUUAAGUCUGAUGUGAAAGCCCCCGGCUCAACCGGGGAGGGUCAUUGGAAACUGGGGAACUUGAGUGCAGAAGAGGAGAGUGGAAUUCCACGUGUAGCGGUGAAAUGCGUAGAGAUGUGGAGGAACACCAGUGGCGAAGGCGACUCUCUGGUCUGUAACUGACGCUGAGGAGCGAAAGCGUGGGGAGCGAACAGGAUUAGAUACCCUGGUAGUCCACGCCGUAAACGAUGAGUGCUAAGUGUUAGGGGGUUUCCGCCCCUUAGUGCUGCAGCUAACGCAUUAAGCACUCCGCCUGGGGAGUACGGUCGCAAGACUGAAACUCAAAGGAAUUGACGGGGGCCCGCACAAGCGGUGGAGCAUGUGGUUUAAUUCGAAGCAACGCGAAGAACCUUACCAGGUCUUGACAUCCUCUGACAAUCCUAGAGAUAGGACGUCCCCUUCGGGGGCAGAGUGACAGGUGGUGCAUGGUUGUCGUCAGCUCGUGUCGUGAGAUGUUGGGUUAAGUCCCGCAACGAGCGCAACCCUUGAUCUUAGUUGCCAGCAUUCAGUUGGGCACUCUAAGGUGACUGCCGGUGACAAACCGGAGGAAGGUGGGGAUGACGUCAAAUCAUCAUGCCCCUUAUGACCUGGGCUACACACGUGCUACAAUGGACAGAACAAAGGGCAGCGAAACCGCGAGGUUAAGCCAAUCCCACAAAUCUGUUCUCAGUUCGGAUCGCAGUCUGCAACUCGACUGCGUGAAGCUGGAAUCGCUAGUAAUCGCGGAUCAGCAUGCCGCGGUGAAUACGUUCCCGAGCCUUGUACACACCGUCCGUCACACCACGAGAGUUUGUAACACCCGAACUCGGUGAGGUAACCUUGUAGGAUCCAUCCGCCAAGAGUGGGACAGAUGAUUGGG